rnacentral:rRNA from 1 species
GUAGGGAAUCUUCCACAAUGGACGAAAGUCUGAUGGAGCAACGCCGCGUGAGUGAAGAAGGUCUUCGGAUCGUAAAACUCUGUUGUUAGAGAAGAACGUGCAUGAUAGUAACUGAUCAUGUAAUGACGGUAUCUAACCAGAAAGCCACGGCUAACUACGUGCCAGCAGCCGCGGUAAUACGUAGGUGGCAAGCGUUGUCCGGAUUUAUUGGGCGUAAAGGGAACGCAGGCGGGUUUUUAAGUCUGAUGUGAAAGCAUUCGGAUUAACCGAAGAAUAGCAGUGGAAACUGGAAGACUUGAGUGCAGAAGAGGAGAGUGGAAUUCCAGGUGUAGCGGUGAAAUGCGUAGGUAUAUGGAGGAACACCAGUGGCGAAAGCGGCUCUCUGGUCUAUAACUGACGCUGAGGUUCGAAAGCGUGGGUAGCAAACAGGAUUAGAAACCCCAGUAGUCC